AACUACUGCUCAUAUGAAAGAUGCAGCUGAGCUGAGAACAUAUCCCAGGCUGACUAUACAAUGCCAAAUGCAAAGAGAUGCAAAUAAAGAUAAAGGACAGAAGAUGAAAGACAGACGAUAGAAGAGAAAA